rnacentral:rRNA from 1 species
UGGGGAAUAUUGGACAAUGGGCGCAAGCCUGAUCCAGCCAUGCCGCGUGAGUGAUGAAGGCCCUAGGGUUGUAAAGCUCUUUCGACGGGGAAGAUAAUGACGGUACCCGUAGUAGAAGCCCCGGCUAACUUCGUGCCAGCAGCCGCGGUAAUACGAAGGGGGCUAGCGUUGCUCGGAAUCACUGGGCGUAAAGCGCACGUAGGCGGGUCUUUAAGUCGGAGGUGAAAUCCUGGAGCUCAACUCCAGAACUGCCUUCGAUACUGAGGAUCUCGAGUCCGGGAGAGGUGAGUGGAACUGCGAGUGUAGGGGUGAAAGUCGUAGAUAUUCGCAAGAACACCAGGGGCGAAGGCGGCUCACUGGCCCGGUACUGACGCUGAGGUGCGAAAGCGUGGGGAGCAAACA